rnacentral:tRNA from 1 species
GGGUGAUUAGCUCAGUGGCAGAGCAUUAUCUUCACACGAUAGGGGCCGCAGGUUCAAUCCCUGCAUCACCCA